GCGAAAGUGGCGGAACUGGCAGACGCGCCAGACUUAGGAUCUGGUGCCCCAAAAGGGCUUGGGGGUUCGACUCCCCCCUUUCGCA
rnacentral:tRNA from 1 species